rnacentral:rRNA from 1 species
AGCAGCCGCGGUAAUUCCAGCUCCAAUAGCGUAUAUUAAAGUUGUUGCAGUUAAAAAGCUCGUAGUUGAACUUCGGGAUCAAUGGAUUGGUCAUGCCGAUGGUGUGUACUGGUCAUAUUGGUUCUCACCUUCUAAGGAACCAUAAUGUCAUUUAUUUGAUGUUGUGGGGAAUUAGGACUGUUACCUUGAAAAAUUAGAGUGUUUAAAGCAGGCUAACGCUUGAAUACAUUAGCAUGGAAUAAUGAAAUAGGACAUCGCAUUCUAUUUUGUUGGUUUCUAGGAUCGAUGUAAUGAUUAAUAGGGAUAGCUGGGGGCAUUAGUAUUCAAUUGUCAGAGGUGAAAUUCUUGGAUUUAUUGAAGACUAACUACUGCGAAAGCAUUUGCCAAGGAUGUUUUCAUUAAUCAAGAACGAAAGUUAGGGGAUCGA